UUUAUUUGUUGGUAUUUACCUUUAGUUUAGUUGUAGUUCGUCAUGAUGUCCCGUCGCCUGUCCGCCGCCCAAGAGACAGAAAGUGAAAGUGUUUGAUUCACUGUCAUCACUUCCUCUCAGUAAACAGACACAUGAACGGUCUGAAUUCUACUUUAUCACUUUGUUUAACAUCAUUAUUAUAUGAACAAGGCUAACCUGGUUACUACACAUAACAGCUACUUCAUCCUGUUGGUGACAAAGUGUUUGCAGUAACAUUGAUCUUCUGUUUGUUCUGAUCAGGGUCCGUUUCUUUGGGUCGGGCGCCAUCUUGUGGAGCCCCUGCAGACUUGAGUGGUGAACCCCAAAGUUCAUGAGCAGUCAGACGGAACAUGUCGGUCUGUAACAAACUCCGUCAAAGUCCGUCAAUAUCUUCAUUUGGAGGAGGAUGCUCACUUAUGACGGAGAGAGGAGGUGAGCUGGUAGUGACAGAACAAACACCCGCCAUGGGAAGAGACGGUAAGUUUAACAUUUUGUACUGUCAUUAAAAACACUAUAUAUUGAUUACAACUAUGUAUGAUAUUGUAGGAUUGUAUUCUAAGCAGAGAAGUUAUUUCAGGGCUUGACUUUAACUUAAAGGAGCACAUGAAGAGAUUUAGUGACACAAUGAAAAUACAUGUUUUAUGAGAAAAUAUUCACAAGCAAUACAAUAUAAUUAAUAUUUUUGAAUUGAAAAAGUGCAUUUCUCAAUGUUCAAACCGUGUUCAGUAAUUAUGUCAUUAUUUUUACAUUAAUCCUCAUGCAACAGUUGAAACAUUUAGUGUUUUGGCCAAAUACAUGCUAUUUCCCUUGUGUAUUGUGAGGCUUUGCCUCAUAAUGAAACUUAACCCUCUGAUAGAAGAUCACAUUUAGAACAAAGAAUGUUCCAUGUGAAAACUGCCAUAGAAUUACUAUGAAAUAAAUGUAUUGAAAAAUGACAAUUUUAUUGUGUGUGUAAAAAAUGUAAACAAACUGAUAUUUAAUGUGUUAAAAUCCUGAAAAUGAAUGAAUAUUUGGUUAUUAUCUGGACUGAAUUUUUUUUUUUUUGUCCUAAAUGUGAGCCAUACAUUUGAAAAAAUUUUUAUUUCAUUGUAUCAGCUGCAUUAGAGUUGAACUAGUGGUCGACUGAUAUCUCUCUUUUAGAGCCAAACUGAUUAUUAGUAAUCAAGGAGACUGAAAACUGAUAUUUGGGAUCGAUAUUCAUUUACAGUAAAAAUAAAAAUCGCGGUGUCACCAACUACUGAUGAAUAAACCUAAGUCCAGUUUACUCAAGUACUGUUCUUCAGUACAUUUACAGGGACCUGAGUAUUUCCUUUUUCCUUUACAUUUAUUAAAAACAUUUAGUCACUAGCUACUUUGCAGAUUCAGAUCAUUCAGUGUUUAUAGGCUGUUAACUAUGACGUGUUACCAAUCAGAUGGUGUUGUGGGCGGGACGUUCUGUGAGAGGAUGAUGCAUCAGAGCCAAAGUGGCACAUUUUUAAUUUAUUUAUUUUAUCAUCUCACAGAAAAAUCACUGAUAGUGAUCAUUGUAAAAUCGGU
ensembl:lncRNA